UACAGAGGGUGCAAGCGUUGUUCGGAAUUACUGGGCGUAAAGCGCGCGCAGGCGGCCCUUUAAGUCUGUCGGUCAAACGCCGGGGCUCAACCCCGUGCUCGCCGCGGAUACUGGAGGGCUGGAGACAGGUAGAGGCAGGCGGAAUUCCGGGUGUAGCGGUGGAAUGCGUAGAGAUCCGGAAGAACACCAGAGGCGAAGGCGGCCUGCUGGGCCUUGUCUGACGCUGAGGCGCGAAAGCUAGGGGAGCAAACGGG
rnacentral:rRNA from 1 species